UUUCAUUGAUUUUCUGGAAUAUAAAGAAUGGGUUUUGUUCAUUUUAUGUAUUUUUUUUUGUUGCAAUAUCAUAGCAAGAAAAUCCACAUGGCGGCCAGCAGUACCGGUGGCAGCAAAAUCCUCCCCAGCAUGUCGUUGCACUUGCAAAUAUUCCAAGUCCUCCGCCUCCUCCGCCACCUUUCAUGAACAGCAGCGGAGUUUCUGGCUCUGAAAACUCAUCCUCUAUCGUCUCCUGGUAUUGUAUUUUGUUUCCCGAAGACAAUUUGGUCUACUUAGUUACUUGUUACAUUGGUUUAUAAUGGAACGAGACUUGUUGAAGGCUGCGAGCCAGAAUUAUGAUGGAAACUUAACUCCUUCACCA